GACGAACCCGUGCGAACGUUGUUCGGAAUCACUGGGCUUAAAGGGCGCGUAGGCGGGUCGUCAAGUUUGGGGUGAAAUCCUCCGGCUCAACCGGAGAACUGCCUCGAAUACUGACGGUCUCGAGGGGGAUAGGGGCAUGCGGAACUACGGGUGGAGCGGUGAAAUGCGUUGAUAUCCGUAAGAACUCCGGUGGCGAAGGCGGCGUGCUGGAUCCCUUCUGACGCUGAGGCGCGAAAGCCA
rnacentral:rRNA from 1 species